ensembl:misc_RNA 7SK 7SK RNA
GGAUGUGAGGGGCGAUCUGGCUGCGACAUCUGUCACCCCAUUGAUCGCCAGGGUUGAUUCGGCUGAUCUGGCUGGCUAGGCGGGUGUCCCCUUCCUCCCUCACCGCUCCAUGUGCGUCCCUCCCGAAGCUGCGCGCUCGGUCGAAGAGGACGACCAUCCCCGCUAGAGGAGGACCGGUCUUCGGUCAGGGGUAUACGAGUAGCUGCGCUCCCCUGCUAGAACCUCCAAACAAGCUCUCAAGGUCCAUUUAACUAAACAGCUAUUUCCCAUUUCAAAUACAGUAAUCACUGUGCAUCGUUAAAU